CCGAGACCUUGGUGCUAGGCCUCUGGGCCGCACUCGAACCCUCACCGAUGACCUUCUGAGGUUGGUGCAGCUGAAUGGUGCAGCAGCACGGGCAUGCCCGACAUCCCUGAGCCCAGAGCCUAAGCCCACUCUUCACCAGCUGAUGCAGCAGAGGCACAGCACAGUGACCGUGAAGGAAGGACCCCCCCCCGUAUAUCCACCCCUGCAGUUUGGACGAGGCAUGCACCGUCACCAGUGAUGACACUGCAAAGUGGACGCACUUUGAGCACCACGGUGCAAGAACAUCAGCUCUUCAAAUGCCCCGGAGCCUUCCCUGCAUGGCAGCCAAGAGAAAAAAAAUUCCAUGCUUCACUGCUUUCAUAUGCACCUUUUGUGCAGGAACCACACCAUGUUUGCGGCAGAGCCUUGGGCAGUUUUACAUCUAAGGGAAAAUGAAUUCCUCUACCACCAUUCCCACACUGCGCAGGAGCAGGCAUUACACUCGCUGCUUUUAGGUGCAGUUAUUCACUCUGUCAGGGUUGCAUUUUUUAUAGUUGCUCUGCAUUGUAGAUCAACUCUUGUUGAAUAUGCUGGUCUCCUGCAGUUGCCAAUCACUCACUUUUUAUUGGGUGAUUCUUUUUUUUUUUUCUUCACAUUCUCAAGGGAGCCUAAGGCUGACAAGAAAUGUGCUGUCUGCUUUGAAGGAGAGAACCAGCCUUUCCUUCAGCCUCAAAGUGCAGAGCAGGAUGUUGAUACACGUAUAGCAGAGCAAGACAGUCCCCCCCUCUUCACUGCGACCAGGGCUGAGAAUUCAGCCUGUCAUCUCUUUGAAGGAGGUUGGCGUCUUUUUCUGUGACCUCUCUUCCUUUGCUCUGUUUUAUUGGCAAGUUCGGUGCACGUGGUGAAGGGGCCAGCAUCUCAGUAGAUAUGCACAGUGACCAGCAGUGCUCCGCUUUGAUGACACACAGCCUUGUCGUUCCCAGUUGUCAAUUAGCUGAGGCGUAGAUGAACCACUUUCUUUCAACUGAUGAAAUCCUCCUCGCACAAGGGAGAGGAGCAGAGUCUUCCGUGAAGGUCGUGAUUUUUAGCUGUCCCAUUUUUUAUCUGCGUCUCUUUCUUCAUGGCACGUGACAGUGAUGUUGGAGCAAGUGCAAGUGUUGACUGUCGUGUGAGUGAAUGGCGGUCUACGUGAGAGGAGGAAGACUUUUGAGUGAGUGAUGGUGUAGAGACAUCAUGGCCCCCCUCAUUUUGUUCACCUUUCUCGUUUCUUUUAUUGCUGCAAGCAAUGUUUCUGGUGCUGUGGCAGCAGCAACUGGACAUUUAUUAGAGUGCUUGCUUAAUGAUGUAGAGAAAAAAUGCAACUUUCUAGGUAAUAUUCGUACAUAUUUAAUAAUAAAAAGGAUGCUGUAUACAA